GACGAACGCUGGCGGCGUGCUUAACACAUGCAAGUCGAACGGAAAGGCCCUUCGGGGUACUCGAGUGGCGAACGGGUGAGUAACACGUGGGUGAUCUGCCCUGCACUUUGGGAUAAGCCUGGGAAACUGGGUCUAAUACCGAAUAUGAUCAUCGGCUUCAUGGUCGGUGGUGGAAAGCUUUUGCGGUGUGGGAUGGGCCCGCGGCCUAUCAGCUUGUUGGUGGGGUAAUGGCCUACCAAGGCGACGGCGGGUAGCCGGCCUGAGAGGGUGACCGGCCACACUGGGACUGAGAUACGGCCCAGACUCCUACGGGAGGCAGCAGUGGGGAAUAUUGCACAAUGGGCGCAAGCCUGAUGCAGCGACGCCGCGUGAGGGAUGACGGCCUUCGGGUUGUAAACCUCUUUCAGUAGGGAAGAAGCGCAAGUGACGGUACCUACAGAAGAAGCACCGGCUAACUACGUGCCAGCAGCCGCGGUAAAAC
rnacentral:rRNA from 1 species